AUUGAACGCUGGCGGCAGGCCUAACACAUGCAAGUCGAGCGAGCGGCGGACGUGAGAGCUAUGUCUGUGAAACUGCCUGAUGGAGGGGGACAACAACUGGAAACUGUAGCCACAACCGCAUACAUUAAGCUGUGCCCAGGUGGGAUUAUCUAGUGGGUGGGGUAAUGGCUCACCAAGGCCACGAUCCCUACCUGGUCUGAGAGGAGGACCAGCCACACUGGAACUGAGACACGGUCCAGACUCCUACGGGAGGCAGCAGUGGGGAAUAUUGCACAAUGGGCGAAAGCCUGAUCCAGCCAUGCCGCGUGUGUGAAGAAGGCCUUCGGGUUGUAAAGCACUUUCAGCGAGGAGGCGUUACUCGCAGAAGAAGCACCGGCUAACUCCGUGCCAGCAGCCGCGGUAAUAC
rnacentral:rRNA from 1 species